UUUUUUUAGUUUUUUUUUUACAUUUGUAGCUACGAAAUUGGCGUCCCCAAUUUUAACGAAAUUUGGGAUGCAUUUUUCACUGUUUAGUGCUUGAAAUAUUUGCUAAAAUUGACUGGGAAUACUUAGAGAUUUCAUCGUAGAAUGGCGUAGUUAUAUUCAUUUGCUCUUUGACUAAAAUGUUUAGCUGUAUUAUUGCUAAACAUGCCGUUUUUGAGAAUUUGGUUUGCAACUAGGUUUGAACAUCCAAUCACGCCAUCAGCCCAUUGAAAAGAUUAGGUCACGUCAGCUAGUUUCCUAUCCAUUUAUUUUAUUAUCCAUGGUUCAAGCCAUCAAAGUCUAUAUUGUUAGAUUGUUACACUCCAUCAGCCAACCUUACUUCGUUCCUAUGCGCAAGGAACCCCCAUUUUAUCGCUAAUAUAAAUAUCAACCAACCUUACAACAUUGUUCUUUAGCAAUUUAAGAUAAAUUUAUCCAAGAUACUGUGCCAAGAUAUCCCUCAUCAUUUUGCACAUUUUCCCAAGAUAUUCCUGAUGGUAUUGCACAUUUGCCCAAGAUAUCCACCAAGAAAAUGCACAUUUGCCCAAGAUAUCCCUCAUAGUAUUGCACAUUUGCCCAAGAUAUCCACCAUAAUUCUUCAACGAUGUGGUAAGGUGGGGUAAUUUCACAUUUGGUAUUGAAAAAAGGUUUGGGAUCCGAUCCUGAGGGGUCUAGUGCACGCACGCAUUCCACGGAAUUCACGCUUGAUGCCUUAACCUAAGCUAGUCGAGUUCAUCUCACUCGCUCAUGUUGGUCUUAAACUAAACCUAAGAGACCUAAUUGCACUUGUAAAUAUUUAAAUGUCAAAUCCUAGCCAGAUACCCCCAAUUACAAGCCACCAUUCUAACAGUCAACAGAAACUUUUAGCAUGCAGUUUAGUAACACUGUAUGUAGUUGUGUAAAACUACUGCACAGUUUUAUAAAACAUAAAUACACUUUUACUCCAAUGGCACUUUAUACUUGUCUUUCAUAAUAACUAAAACAUGUCACAUAGGCAGUGAAUCUUAAUAAAUUUGAAUAUCAAUAAACUGCGAUGUCUAUUUCAAAAGCUUAACCAAUAUAGUUAAAUGCUAAAUUUAAUAUUGAAAUUUUUCAGGCUAAGGCAUAUAGCCAAUAGCAAGCUGUCCUUUAUGGAAACACUUUAGGCGAGCUGUCCUUUAUGGAAACAGUACUGCACUUAAAAUGUUUUAAUUAAAAUAUAACUGAAAUUAUUUAGGCUAUGGCAUAUAGCCAUAGCAAGCUGUCCUUUAUGGAAAUAGUACUUAAAAUGUUUUAAUUGAAAUAUAACUGAAAUUAUUUAGGCUAAGGCAUAUAGCUAAUAGCAAGCUGUCCUUUGUGGAAACAGUACUUAAAAUGUUUUAAUUGAAAUAUAACUGAAAUUAUUUAGGCUAAGGCAUAUAGCCAUAGCGAGCUGUCCUUUAUGGAAAGUACUUAAAAUGUUUUAAUUGAAAUAUAACUGAAAUUAUUUAGGCUAUGGCAUAUAGCCAAUAGCAAGCUGUCCUUUAUGGAAAAUACUUAAACUGUUUUAAUUGAAAUAUAACUGAAAUUAUUUAGGCUAUGGCAUAUAGCCAUAGCAAGCUGUCCUUUAUGGAAAGUACUUAAA
rnacentral:lncRNA from 1 species